rnacentral:lncRNA from 1 species
AGACCGACCGUGCGCCGGGCUCGAGCGCGGUCUGAGCGCGCGGCGCCUGCGGCGGCGAACGGACGGACGGACCGCGGACGGACGUACUGACCCCAACCCGCGAGCCCCGGGAGCCGUCGGUCUGAGGAGGGGCCGCUUCGCCAUGUCGCCCCGCACCUGCUGAGCCCGGAGCGUCCGAGGAUGUCCGCGCUGAGGAAGGUUUUGCCUGGCAUUCUGCAGAAGCAUUGCUGUAUCUUACCAGACAGGAAUACAGAUGAAGACCCCCAGGCCCAGGGAAUUCGAUCACUGGCUGAGAACUCACAGCUAAGGAGGGGGAGCCUGGGAUUCCUUCCUGGUGCUCACACCCGAGACCCUUUUGUCACUGUGUUCAAAGGCACUGCUGCACAGACGUGAUUCUUCUUUCAACGAACAUCUCCAGGACUUCCUCCGGGGUCUGUGACCUCAUCUAUAAUUAAAGGGAAAGAGAUCUUCCUGAGAUUAGCCCAUUUAACUUGUUUAACUAGAUGCAUGCUGCAAAAACUGUUUUCAAGAAAUGAACAAUUGACUAUUUAAAAAGAGCCAAGCCUUAAAAGAAGACCAGGUUUUAAUAGGGAAAACAUUCAGUAAAAUAUUAUUCUGCAGUAACUUGUGGAAUGACUGCUGUACACACAGCUCUGGGCUGGGUACCUGGAAGCUCACGAGCUUGUUUGGCCUCCCCUCCUGGACACAGGAGGUGUCAAGGCUGUGGUCAGCAGAAUCUACCCAGCUGGACACUGAGUGGACGCCCUGUGGGGUGGCUGUGAAAUGGGUCCACUUUGUAGUGGCAGCAUCCCUGAUAGUACUUCUGAAAGGGACAAGAUAGAAAAGCAAACCAAACUGAAACUGAGAAGUCGUGGAUGAUACCAGGGGCGCACAGUGGCUGACAGGAAGAGACUGCCUGGGGGGUCUCGGAGCCAGUGGCUGGAGUGGAGUUAGUUUGACCGAGUCCUGGACUAGGGAGGGGACCCCCAAAGCAUGCCCAGCAUGGCGCUAGUGGGGCCCAGGCACCCCAUGUCCCAACGACUAGAACCAAUAAUCAGGUUAACACUCAUUAAAUAAGAAGUGUCUGUGCCUCCUGGGAUAAAAAUCCUUUAUAACGAUCUGGGACGCGAGCUCAAGUCCCUGUUCCCUUGUCCUCCACAGCAGUGUGCAGCGUG